UACGAAGGGGGGCUAGCGUUGCUCGGAAUUACUGGGCGUAAAGCGCACGUAGGCGGAUCUUUAAGUCAGGGGUGAAAUCCUGGAGCUCAACUCCAGAACUGCCUUUGAUACUGAGGGUCUUGAGUUCGGGAGAGGUGAGUGGAACUGCGAGUGUAGAGGUGAAAUUCGUAGAUAUUCGCAAGAACACCAGUGGCGAAGGCGGCUCACUGGCCCGAUACUGACGCUGAGGUGCGAAAGCGUGGGGAGCAAACAGG
rnacentral:rRNA from 1 species